GUGGGGAAUUUUGGACAAUGGGCGCAAGCCUGAUCCAGCAAUGCCGCGUGUGUGAAGAAGGCCUUCGGGUUGUAAAGCACUUUUGUCCGGAAAGAAAUCUCCUGGGUUAAUACCUCGGGGGGAUGACGGUACCGGAAGAAUAAGCACCGGCUAACUACGUGCCAGCAGCCGCGGUAAUACGUAGGGUGCGAGCGUUAAUCGGAAUUACUGGGCGUAAAGCGUGCGCAGGCGGUUUGGUAAGACAGGCGUGAAAUCCCCGGGCUCAACCUGGGAACUGCGCUUGUGACUGCCUCACUAGAGUACGGCAGAGGGGGGUGGAAUUCCACGUGUAGCAGUGAAAUGCGUAGAGAUGUGGAGGAACACCGAUGGCGAAGGCAGCCCCCUGGGCCGAUACUGACGCUCAUGCACGAAAGCGUGGGUAGCAAACAGGAUUAGAAACCCUUGUAGUCC
rnacentral:rRNA from 1 species